rnacentral:rRNA from 1 species
UACGUAGGGUGCAAGCGUUAAUCGGAAUUACUGGGCGUAAAGCGUGCGCAGGCGGUUAUGCAAGUCAGAUGUGAAAUCCCCGGGCUCAACCUGGGAACUGCAUUUGUGACUGCAUAGCUAGAGUACGGUAGAGGGGGAUGGAAUUCCGCGUGUAGCAGUGAAAUGCGUAGAUAUGCGGAGGAACACCGAUGGCGAAGGCAAUCCCCUGGACCUGUACUGACGCUCGUGCACGAAAGCGUGGGGAGCAAACAGG